rnacentral:rRNA from 1 species
CCUACGGGUGGCAGCAGUAGGGAAUAUUGCUCAAUGGGGGAAACCCUGAAGCAGCAACGCCGCGUGGAGGAUGAAGGUUUUCGGAUUGUAAACUCCUUUUGUUAGAGAAGAUAAUUACGGUAUCUAACGAAUAAUCACCGGCUAACUCCGUUCCAGCAGCCGCGGUAAUACGGAGGGUGCAAGCGUUACUCGGAAUCACUGGGCGUAAAGGGCGCGUAGGCGGGAUAGCAAGUCAGGUGUGAAAUCCUAUGGCGUAACCGUAGAACUGCAUUUGAAACUGGUAUUCUAGAGUAUGGGAGAGGUAGGUGGAAUUCUUGGUGUAGGGGUAAAAUCCGUAGAGAUCAAGAAGAAUACUCAUUGCGAAGGCGACCUGCUAGAACAUAACUGACGCUGAUGCGCGAAAGCGUGGGGAGCAAACAGGAUUAGAUACUCCAGUAGUC